rnacentral:rRNA from 1 species
UACGGAAGGUCCGGGCGUUAUCCGGAUUUAUUGGGUUUAAAGGGAGCGUAGGCCGGAGGUUAAGCGUGUUGUGAAAUGUAGAUGCUCAACAUCUGAACUGCAGCGCGAACUGGUUUCCUUGAGUACGCACAAAGUGGGCGGAAUUCGUGGUGUAGCGGUGAAAUGCUUAGAUAUCACGAAGAACUCCGAUUGCGAAGGCAGCUCACUGGAGCGCAACUGACGCUGAAGCUCGAAAGUGCGGGUAUCGAACAGG